rnacentral:lncRNA from 1 species
CUGACUGAUAAACAGAGAUGCUCUGCUCCAAUGAAAUGCAAAAUAAGUGAGGAUGCAUUUUUCAAAUUCCUCCAUCAGCUUCACGUACAGAGAUUCAAACUCGGGUAGAUUAGCAAAAAAAUCAUAGAUGUUAUUCUCACACCCUUCAGAUCUUUUCAGAUAAUCAUAAGCCAAUUUGCAUAGCCGUGGACACUGAUCUGCAUCUGCAAAUCCCAUCUGCCUAGCUACAAAGACCAGUAAAAUGAAAAACGGGUAAGAUUUCUUCUUUCUUGACUCCUGAGAAAAAAACAUUAUUUGUCAAGAAAAAGUAAGACAACUGAACAGUUUAUAAUUACUUAAAAAUUAAUUUACCAACAUAAUCGGAGAAUCUUUCAAGAUUUCCCAAACGGCCAGAUUCUGUCCUGACUAAACCUGGAAUGAUGUGCUGGUCUAUUUUAGCCUCUGAUUUUCUCCGAUAGUAGAGAGUUGCAGCAGCAGCACUGAUGAAACCCAGAAAGGAAGCGGCAAGAACUCGUGUCAAAAUGGCAUGGCCGUUAUUAUUAUCUAAAAGAAAGGAAGGAACUUUCGUCAGAGCUUAUUUUCUUACUAGAAAACGAUUAGACAGAGAGAUUACGCAGAGAAAGAAAAAAGAAGGCUUACCUAGCUGCAUCUUGUUGAAGAUUAGAGGAGGCUUCACUGCAGAUUUGAAAUAGUUUGCCAGGCUUUAGAUGAUUUUACCGAUUACAGAUGGAGCUCAUCUCAUGAUAAAACGAAGAUAUGACUUUGUGGGCCUUCGUUUUCAUGAUGAAGGAUGAUAAAUAAAUUUUUAAAAGCUUAGCGAUUCCCACAUGACAAAAAAAAAAACAUUUCUUCGAUUUGAUGCACAUCCUUCCACCGUUCCACGUUUUAUUGAUUAAAAUAAAAGUUAAAAUAUAUGGAAUUUUUAUUCUACAUGUGUCUUUAUUUGUUAUGUAUUGUAAUAGUGAAUCCACGAUUUUAUUCUUUAAAAAUUCUUAUUUAAAUGUUUUUCUAUAGGCAAAACGGGGUUUUUAUAGUUCAUUUGUUAAAUGACUUUGUUGCCCUUUAGUUAACUAUGGUUUAUGGUAUUUUUUGACAUUUUGUAUUUUUAGCUACAGUAUAAUGAUUCUAUCACGAUUCAAAUUUUUUAGUGCUUGAUUUCAUGAGCUAAUUUGUAAUUAAAAAAUGUUUUCUUUUUCUUUUUAAUAAUUUUUUAGUUUUGAGGGUAGGAUUAUCUUUUUGAAAAAACAAAUAUUAAAAGUUGAUGCAUGAGUGAUUGCAGAUGGUGGUUCAAAAAUUAAUUUCAUCGUGUCAUUAGAUUCAUCCCAACCUAAUGUUUUUUCUUAUGUGACGCAUGUGCUCGUCAAACCUCCGAGAAGUCACUAACAUCCUUAUAUUUUUUUUUCUCUCUUUCCUCCUGCAAAAUCCCCUCUAGUUUUUAUUUUAGCUCUUCAAGUUCAUUUUUUUUAUAUUUUUUUCCUUGAUUUUUUAUAUCUAUUUGUUUUAUUUUGAUUCAUUUCUCAAAUUUUUUUUCAAUUGCAUCCUCCUUUAAUUUUUUAUCUAUCAGAUUUGAUCUUUUUUUUUUUUUGUUGAUCUAUUUGUUGUUGGUGUUUCAUAAUCCAUUAUUUUAAUUUUGAUAGUUGUAACGAUAAUAAUAAUAGCAACAAUGACAAUGAUAAAGAUGAUAAUAGUAAUAAUUCAUCAUUCGAUGUUAGAUUUAUUGGGAAUUGAGUUUCACUAUUUUUCCAUAUAUGAUAUUUUCAGUCUAAUAACAUGUGUUACGGGUUUAAAAAGUUUAUGUGGCCUGAUGUCCUCUUUUCUUUUUUACUUUAUUGGUUUUCUUCCUGAUUUUAUCAUUAGUUUUUUAAAAUAAAAAAACGAUCGAAAUUAUUAAAUAAACCAAUUUCACAUUGAGUUAUCUAUUACAUAGUUUGGGUGUUGGGUCUGACAUCUUGGCAGAUCCAUUAACGCUUGAGUUCAACAUGCAGGCGAGUCUAAUAGAGUUGAGUCUGACAUCUCACCAAACCUCUGACACUUGGUCUUAGCGCGUAGUUGAACCCAAUAAAGUUGAGUUUGAUAUCUUACCAAACUCACUAGCAUUUGAGUUCAGUACACAACUAAGUCCAAUAAAAUUAGAUCUGAUAUUUAUUCAUUGUUUCAUACCCUUUAAGUAUUUGGAGGUGUAGGGUAAGGCCUUUCAAGGAAAGGAAUUUAUGUAAAAUAUGUUGAUAAAAAAAAAGGGGGGGAAAUGUCAUCCCACUAGGAGCGAGUUAGAGUAAGGGUUAGUAUGAAAAUAGAACAAAGAUGAAGAUAUAAUUAAACUUAAAUAAAUGGGUAUAAAAUGAAAUAACCAUAUUUUUUAGGGAUUAAAAAAAAACAUAUUGGGGGGUCCCUGUCUUGAACAUGGACUGCGUAGAUAAUCAAAGAAAGAGCUUGAGUGGAUGAUGGAUGCAAUACAAUUGAACCGUUGGAAUAAUAUUCUAUACAUUGAUAAUUGAUGGUGCUUUUAAAAAGGAUCUCGUCCAUCUUCGUUUGUAAGUGGCCUAUUUAUCCAUGCACCGUUUAGGUUCAUAUAAAAAACUAGCUAUUUCUUUUUUAAAAAAAUAGCUAGAAAAAAAUUUUGUAUUGUAAACAAAACAUAUAAUUUAUAUUUAAUUAAAUAAAUUGGUAAUAUUGAUAAAUAAAAUUUUCAGAUUGGAUUAUAUAACUCUGGUUUAAUUGGUCUUUUCCUUUAAGAGAAAAAUAAAAAUAAACGAUGCUUUGUUUAUUUGCUAGUUUUUGAAUAACAAAGAGGUAAUUGAAAAAUCAAGUUAGAGUUUUUUUAAUUUAAAAUAUUAUUUUCUAAUAUAUUUUCAUCUAAAAACAUGUGAUAAACAUUUUUAUAAUGUUAAUAAACUAAUUUUUAACUCAAAAUAUCAAGAUUGAUUUUUUUUUCCCGGAAUAUAACCAACUAAUAAUUUUCUCUUUUACUCACUCUGUUUCCAAUUAAUAGAUUAAAAAAAAGUAUAAAAUAAAUUUUUAAAUCAAAAUUAAAAUUUGAAAAAUGAAAGGGUCACAAUCCAUUAAUCCAAGCAGUUAGGAAAAUAAGUGGGCUGGAAAAAAUAAAAAAUAAAUAAAUAAAUAAAUAUAUAUAUAUAUAUAUAUAUAUUUGUUGCUGAUUUUGAGACCCGACGACGUGUAUUUCACAUGAUUUACGUUGUGGGUGCAGGGCUCCGUCCUGCUCAUAAUGAUCUUUUAUAUUAAAAGCAUAUAUAAUUUUAAUCAAUAAUAAUGGUGCGGUUGAGUCAGGGUUCAACAACCACUUAUAAAAUACACAGCUGGAAAUCACUUUACACUAUUCUAACUCCAUCGCCAAUGCAUCUCAUUAUUCUCACCUAUUAUUGCAUCAACUUGGCAUUACAAUAUUCUAAAAAUUAACAGCUGACUGAGGACCAGCUGAGGUGUGUGUUUCACUUCGACCUGCUGCUACAUAAAUGGUAGAAAUUAUAUGAUGAUGUUAUUGGUCUGCAAAUCACUGUCUUUUACACGACAGUCACAGAGGUGUUUGUCGUCACUGCCACUAGUUAUAGUAAUUUCCCAACCUCAUUAAAUACUUUUAAAUAUUAAUUAAUAAGUUACAAGACACGGGGAAUUUAUCAAUACACUGUGGAUUACUGUAGUAAUAUAGUAAUCCACAAUACAUUUUUUUUUUUGCAUUUUUUUUUAAAUUUUUUUUUUAUCAAUUUUAUUUUUUUAAUAUUGAGCUGAUUAAAAAUUUUGUUUUGUAAUUUUUUAUUUAAAAUACUAUGGAUUGCUACGGUAUUUUACCAUAUGAUUUUUCUAUUUUAUUUUUUUAUUUUUUAAAAUUAUAUUUGUCGAUUUUUUUUAUAUUAAGCUAAUUGAUAAUUUAGUUUUGUAAUUUUUUUCUUUAAAACAUUGUUAAUUGCUAUAGUGUUUCUGUACAUAAUUUUGUUUUGUUUUGUUUUUUUUAUGAUUUUCUCCAAAAUUAGAUUUUUUAAUUAGAUUUUUUAAUAUUAAGCAGGUUAAAAAUUACAGUUAUAAUAUGUGAUGAGAGCAUUGUAGCUUUCCUCUCAAAUUACCAUGGAUUGCUACAAUGUAUUUUUCCAUAUAGUUUUUUUUAUGUUUUUUUUUUCUAAAAUUAUCUUUGUUAAUUUUAUUUUUUAAUAAUAAGAUGGUUAAGAAUUACAAAUACAAGUAAAAAAAAAUAUACUGAAUCAUGCGGGAAAACACUUUAACUUUCCUCACAAAACAUUAUUGAUUGAUACAGUUUUUUCUCAUAUAGUUUUUUUUUCCAGUUUCUUUUGUGUUUUUUCUUUUUUGUAAUAUAUUUUUUAAAAAAAUUAUCUUUGAUGAUGUUAUUUUUUUAAUAUUGAGUUGGUUAGAAUUUAACUUUGUAAUAAAGCUUAAUCAUGUGGGGAAAACAUUGUAACUUUCCACACAAAACACUGUGAAUUACUAUAGUGUUUCUGCACAUAGUUUUUUUUCUUAUGAUUUCUUCAAAAUUGUGUUUGUCAAUUUUAUUUUUUAAAUGUUGAGCUGGUUGAUAAUUACAACUAUAUGUCAUUACAACUAAGGCUAAAUCAUGUGGGGAAAGCGCUGUAGCUUUCAUCACAAAAACAUUGUGAAUUGCUACAGUAUUUUCAGCAUGGUUUUUUUGUCCCAGUUUUUUUUUGUGUUUUUUAUUUUAUUUUAUUUUUUAAAAAUUAUCUCUGUCUUUUUUUAAUAUUGAGCUGAUAGAGAAUUUUUUAUUGUAAUUUUUUUCUUUAAAACACUGUGAAUUGCUGCAGUGUUUUUCCACAUGAUUUUUUUUUUAAUAUUGAAUUGGUUAAAAAUUAUAAUUACAAUUAAAUUAAAUCAUAUGAGGAAAUCAUUGUUGUUUUCCUCACAAAACACCGUAGAUUGCUACAGUAUUUCUCUAAAUGAUUUUUUAUUUAUUUAUGAUUCUUUCUAAAAUUAUCUUUGUCGACUGUAUUGGGGAAAACACUGUAAUUUUUCUCACAAAAUAUUGUCAAUUGCUACAACGUUUUUUCUCAUCAUUUUUUUUCCUUCCAAAAUUAUCUUUAUCGAUUUUUUUAAUAUUAAGUUGGUAGAAAAUUUAACUUUGUAAUUUUUUUACUUUUUAUUAACAAAAAAGCUAAAUCAUGUGAUGAAAACAAUGUAUCUUUCAUCACAAAAUAAUGUGGAUUGCUACAAAUUAUUUCAUUUAGUUUCUAAGUUUUUGAUCACCAAUAUAAUAUUUUUUUUUCUAUAAUGAAAUAUUUGUCCUAUCAUACUUUUAGUUUCUAUUACUUAUCUAACACUAAUUUACAAUUAUAACACUAUUAAAUAUAUUUAUUUUAUAAACCUUUAUUUAGUUUUUAAGUUAUUGAUCACCAAUAUAAUUUUUUUUUCCAUCAUGAAAUAUUUACUCUAUUAUAUUUUUAAUUUUUAUUAUUUAUUUAACACUAAUUUAUAAUUAUAACAAUAUUAAAUAUAUUUAUUUUAUAAACUUGCAGGAGCACACGUUCAUGCCACCUCGUUGAUCUUAAUUCAAAAACAUCACACAGUAACAACAAAAGAAUCUAUGGUUAUAUCAGCACAAAUAUCAAGGUAAGCUUUCUCUCCCAAGCCAUUCCUCCAUGCCAAACGUACUUGAAAUUGGACGAUGGUGGGGUCAUGUUUACGAGGGACAGAUGAAAAGCAAUAGAAAUGGCAAAUCAAAACUAUAAAUGUAAAAGCUUACUCACGCGCUUUGUUUUUCUCACUUUAUGUAUUUUUGCAAGCGACACCUGAAUCUAUAUCUGCCUAAAACCCUAACAUUUUCAUCUCUUCAACUUUCAAUCUUAAAUCUUCUUCGGAGGGUGUCUUGCCACCAUCCUUCAAGGUUGCACACCACCAUGCCAUUAGCUCACCCUGCAAAAUACAGGAGUCGGGCUUAACCGCCACUUUCAAGAGUAAAAAAAUGAGAGCAACAUAUGAGUAGGAUCACUUUCUUUCCCAGGUACAAGGAUAAUAUUUCCACCAUUUUUAAAUGAACGUGGAACUUGAAGGUCCAUUCUUAAAUAGUCAUUAUAUAUAUGAUAAUAUAUUAAGAAACUCAGAGUCAUUGACUUCCUCUACUAACAAACAACAGGUUUGCUGUGUUUCAAGGGUUCGUAGAUGAUUUUGAAGGUGUCAGACUACAUUACUUAGGUGAGAGUAUGUAGUAACACAACAUCGAAAACUCAAAUUGUCUUCAUGAAGAGACUCCACCAAGCAAAUGCAGAUUCAGUCAUAUAAAUCAUCAAUGAAGGAGACGUCAAUGCAACAUGAAUCAAGAUUUGGUGUGUAAAAUAGGCAAUAUAGAAGAAAGAUCAUAAGACCAUAUUCUGAUGAGUCGUGAUCCUUGAAUGAGAAAAGGGCUACUUGACCGAGGCCAACUAAUCGUGCAUUCAAAACAUACAAACAUGAUUCAACAGGGGAAAAAAGGCUGUAAAUAGCCAGAUUAAUUAUAUGCAGUCCAUGAAUAAAGAUAUCAAGCUCGCAGAUUCAGCUGGAAAUCUAUAGAUCAAAGAUUGAAAUUUAAAUUGCUAGAUUAUAUAAAACAUGACUUCGUUUUCAGAGUCGGGAUUUUGCCUCGGUGAAAUCGUGGUUGGAGAUGUAUUGACUCUUAACUAAACAUUUGACGCCACCUACAAUUACAGCAAUAGAAUUUUUGAACUUUUGUUUUGAACUCUGACUUUGAACUCCUGUAUGAUCAAAAGAAAGAACAGGGGAAAAAGGGGAGGGGGUGAGUCGUCAACAGAAAAGGAAGCUAAUUAAUGACAACUAUGCAACUCGUCCAUCUAUCAUAGAUAGGAGACAGGGUAAACAAUUUUGGCUUACCAGUAAUGCAGGCUACAUAAUACCCAGUUCCACCCAAUCCCUGUUCGCACUUCCCAAGCCGAAAGCCCAGGAAAAAGCCAUCAAGAUGUGAUGGUGGUGUAUGCGAAUUCAUCCAUCUGGUGCCAAUGCAUGCAACAUAGAAAAUAUCAAUAAAAGGAUAAAAACUAAUACAUUUAAGUUAUUGUUCUGAUCCUGGACCUGAUCUUGCAUAAGUUGUAAAAUAUGUCACCUCAUUAUACUUCUAUCAUAGGAUUCUCAUAGUCACUAUCCUGAGCUCCUCACUACAUGUUUCCUUGGGAAUUCAUUUUCCUAGAAGGUCACUCAGAUUUCACUUCGAGUUCAAAAAAUUCAAAGUUAUGGAGAAGAAGAAAAAAGGUCAUCCUUCAGUGGUCCUGAACACUACAGACAGAUUACAUUUUGACCUGCAUCAGAAGGUAACACGGUUAUCCAAAUGCCAUCUUCUUGCCAGAAGGCAGACUCUCUACCAUAAAACCAUGUUGCAGAAACAAGCUUGUAAGAUAUGCAAAAGAAAAAUGGAAAAGAACUGACUUCGAGGUGGGUGGCAAAUGCCAAAAUCAGGAGCCAAAGUAAUAUGAGGAUAAAGUAGCAGAAGAUGAUUUGAUAGAAUAAGCAUGGACAGAACAAUAUUAAGCCAGAUGUUCAAGCCAAUGCAUUUCAAAAUUAGAAGCUCACGAAUUUUCUGGUUCAAAUCUGUCAUAUUUAGGAAAAUGAGGCUUUAAUGUUCUUACCAGAAGUUUAUUAGAUUUUCUUCGCAAUCAAACAAAUUCCCACCUCGGACUUGGUUUAAAUAGUUAAGAAAAUAAAUCAGAUGCUGGAAACUGGAAGCAUGUCUUCCCAACUCCAACAGUAAACAAGAUGCCGUGAUGAACAAACACUGCCUAUUACAGGUAUAAACAAGCAACACUUAAGAUUAAACUAAACAAAAGCUCAACCAUAUGGUUGAAAACAACCUGCAAUUUAUCUGUCUGUAUAUGAUGUCUCAAACAAUUAGAGGGGUGCAGUCCGAGUGCUAAAAUCUCUUUAGUUAUUGCAUGGCAGUUUAUAGGAAAGAUCUCAAAAUAAUAAUAAUAAAAAAUAACAGUGAAGAUGACAGUUUAGUUGGAAUGAUCUACUUACUUGAGAAUAAUUGUUCGAGAUAAACGAAGCCUUUUUACUGCAUCAAAAAUUCCCUUGGGUAAGUCCGAUAUCUGGCUAUUGAUAAAAUUGCUUAAAGGCAUGACCUGGUUUUCUUUCAACUUCUUUUCCCCAGAACUUGAAGCGGUGUCUCUCUCACACGGUUUCAUAUUCAUAUUCAUAUUCAUUUUCCCAGAGGCAGAGGCUUCAUGCAAUUUCCCAUUGCGAACUGUAGGUGCAUCAGCAGCUUGCAAUUGACAAUCCUUGCCAUCUGACCGCUUUGCAUCGUCUUCAUUUCUUAGACUGAGCAGAAUUUUACAAGGGCUGGAUUCACGGACCUGAGAAUCGCCAUAUUCUGCUUGAUGUCUUGUUCUUGAAGAGGCACUAGGACACGCAACAGCCCAGUGAUUUGACUGGAAACAUCUUAUGCACACACAGGGAAAUUCUUUUGCUCCGUUAAAUGAAUUAGCGUUUCUUAGAAUAUCUGCAAGCUCACUAUCAAUUAUCUCUGGACAAUCUCGCACAUGUCAGGUUUCCAUGAGAAGAAUCAUCUGUCCCGUAUGAUGGCAUGAUGUGCUUGAGGGCAUCCAAUCUCCUUGCAAAGACAGAAGCCAUCGCCCCUGAAUUUCUGAAUCUUGAAAAAGGCAAGGUAGAGUUCAUUUUACACAUGGACUUCUCAUCAUGGUGUCCAUUUACUUUAUUUAUGCUAAAUGAAACUUCAGUACUGUUGGCACAAUUUUGCAUGCAUGCAUACCGGGUCCUCAGUGAAGUGCUCCUCCUCCCUAGCCCCCACAAUUUUUUUUUUAUCUCGGUAAGAAGAAGGAUGAUUCUGCCACGGAGCCUUCAGCCUUAUGAAAUCGGUAUAAGGCCAUCAAGAGCUUCGCCAGUUCUUCUGUGGCAAAGAUCGCGGUUUGACAAUGGACCAGAAGUUUUUGGAGAAAGCCGAGUUAUCCACAAGCUUGUGAGUGGGUCCCUUUUGUACCCGGAAGUAUUUGUGGCCUUGCCUUCAGAUGGCUGUUCAGCAUCGUUCCUCUUACGUUUACCCGGAGAGGAAUUGGAGCUUGUCCCAUCUUUCUCCUUAUCAGUUGCCAUGUUGCAUGAAUUUUUUUUCUCUGCGGAGUUACUCCCGCUGAUCUCCUGACCAGAAGCAAUAUUGGUGGAUAAAAGUUCGGUCAAGGCUUGUGGAGCUGCACCAUUUCCAGUUGUCGACUCAUUUAACUUCUCAUUUGGUUGAAGAAACCGUUUGUACACAUUGUCAGUCACCAUACGACAGGUUAUUGGAGUACCAGUAGAGUCACAGAUCUUGUUGUAUCGUCUUUGGUAUCGUCUCGAGCAUAAAAAAUGAGAGUGGCAUUCCUACAAGCGACUUCAACUUUCCAAUUUUCUUUCAUGCACCAGUUCUUUUUUGAACAGCCUGAAUGAAUCUAUUCAUGUGGACACGUAUUUCAAACGCUAAACGGCAAUGAUUCUGUUGUGUUUUCAGUUCAUAAUUAUCUGUUAUUAUAUCACGACCACUGCAGCCAUGAUCAUCCCUGUUGAUAAAUCAUUUUCUGUCAGGAGAUACAUAUAUAUCUGGCGGAUGUUUUCCUCUCUUUAGCAACUAUAUAUAGCGAGUGAUUUGAGCAUUAUAAUGCACGGUGAUUGCUCAUAAUUUUCAUGUGCUUGCGCAUGUUUUUGAUGUAUUUCCAACAGUACUAUAUUAACAAAUUACCUGACAAAAAAAAGAAGAAAAAAGAAGAACAAGUUCUUUAGAUCUUUCCGUUUGUGUAUUGGCAUUCAAGCGACAGUUUCUUGAGCCUUUGUCUUGGGACAAUACAAUGACUGAAAAAGCGAAUGAAAUCCCAUAGUUUUGCACCCUUGAUCUUGAUUUCUGUUACGUGAAAUGAGAUUCUUAUCACGAUCCUCAUGUCCAUAUGCUUAUGAUUUGCAAGGGUAAGAGCAAGAGAAGGUGCCUCAUCUUCAUUUGAUUUUAAGAACCCCUUCAUCAUGACUAUAUUGCUCUCUCUCUCUCUUUUUCCAUGCUUGAAGGUGAUCCUUUCUACUUGCUACGGCCUGUUUGGUGUGGUUUGUUACCCACUUACACCAUCCUUUCUUAUUGGCGUUAGAUAAGUCUUAUUUUUGAAUCCCAUAUCCCAUAGGGGAGGGAGGGUUUCACACUUGAUACGAUAAUCUAAUCAUCUAUUUACAUAAAGAAAAGUUCCGGGAAGAAAUCCACGCUCCGGACAAGCACACGGGUACUAAUAGAAGCCCUAAUAACGUGGAACCACAUGAUGAAAGGAGGAAGGUUAUGGAAGCCAUGCUGCAACCAACAUACCUUCUGGCUACGAACAAGCCAAGGCUCGUUCAGUUUGCUCACCUAGCACGCACCACCGAGCGCGCAGAUCCUAUGCGCGUCACUUCCUGCCUCGGAACAGAAGCAAGGCAAGCUCUAGCAGUUGGAGAAAGGGCAGGAAAAAGAAAAAGGUGUGUGAAAGAAAAGAAGGCAGUUAGGAAGACCAAGAAGUGAAAGCAGUUUGUGUGGAUAGAAUGACAGGACUUGUAAAUUGAGGGUUUACCCGGGGUUAUUUGAGUAUAGAAUUGCUUGAUUUAGAUGACUGUCUCGAUGUUUAGAAUAAUGGUUUUGAGCUCCGAUUGAACAGCGGGCCUGGAAGGAUCCAUGACGAUGUCUUUCCAAAAAGAGCCCGGCUCGAAAAUGGGUCUUGGGUCUGUGUAAAGCUCGUAGAUGGAUUCUGCUUCAGCCCUCAAAUUGCUUGCAUUUGUCAAGCAUUUGUACCCCUCUGGAUCAACCAGGAGCAUGUUGUCCCCAUCUUUCCAUGCUAUCAGCUGCAUUCAUUUUGUGCCAAUCAAAAAGUCAGUGUAUAAGAAAAAUGCAGUCCCUACUUGUCUUUUGAAUCGAUACCAGUACGGAAAUCUACAGGCAAGAACUAAGAUAACUGCUGCUAGUUCCGAGCUACGAGGUAUGGAAGGUGGGGCUAAUUUCCGUACAUAAUGCAGCGUGUUCGAGGUCCAUUUCUUGUCGAGGCCUCGAGAUACAGAAUAGUGCAUCCAGUGGACCACAAUCUAGGAUUCCAGGCUCAAACUUACCAGUUUUCUUAGAGCUGACAGAUGGGUGAUGGGUCUAAUUUAUAUCAAUACCUUUCGACAUGUCAAUCGAUAGAUAGUGACUCAAAUAGCAAGGUGGCCGGACUAAAAACAAGGGUGGUUGGCAGACUCUCUUCCCUAAUCGAUGUUGUGUUGUGUUUUAGAGGUUGUCCAUUGGAUUUGAGGCACUGUGCAUUUGUCACUACGAGAAAGAAGAGAAGAAGCACGGGAUGCAUGGCGGAUAAACCUGAUGGAAGAGACGUACUUACACGAGGCGGUGCUCCGACUGAAUUGGUGCAAUAAAGCCUGGCUUUAUCAACAAGUUGGCAAUAUCUUUCAAAUGCGCUGGCAAAUCUCUUGUGGGACUUUAACCGGGAAUGCACCCUCACCGCCCCUCUUGUCGUUAUGGCUCUCCUGUUCAAAAUCCCAGAAAAACAUGCCCUCUUUCAUUAAUACCAUGUACCGCACGACAAUCAACGAGAAUGAUUUUGAUUACUACACAGCUAGUUCUAUCAUGUUUCGAUUGUUACCUGAUGCCUCUAACAACAGCUAGAUAAGGGUCACAGACAACUCCAACCAGCUCUAUUCUGUAUGGUUUCCUGCCAGUUAAUUCUCCUUUCUUGUUGUUUAAUCGCUGGUCUUCUUCCUGUAGCCCUACCUUUUCCCAGUAAUUUUGAUCAACGGUCCUAUCCUCAGCAACCUGGUACCCUGGCCCCAUUCGGUAACGAUAUCUGUGCACAUUACGAGCCAUGGCAAUUGUUUGCUCCACGAAAGGCUCCCAUGAAAGGGUGCCAUCCAUGAUUACAUCCCGUCCUUCAUUCAGUGCAGUUACCAGGAGUGAUGAUGCAGCAUCGGUUGAUGAUUGGUAGAUGACAUCCGACUCUUUGAAGAAUGCUUCAGCCUCUCGGCCCUCUACAACAACCGCCUUUGCCUUUGCUCCUGACCAGAACGGUCUGCCCAAUUAUUUAUUGAUCAGUGUCCCAUCGAAUCACAAUCACAAGGCAUGCACUCUUUUCCACAGCAAAAUUCAAUUAUCUUUAAUACGCGACAUAGAAAAAUCAUGAAAGUUAUUUUUAAUGUUUACGAGGUAAAAUUUGAUAAAUCCAUACUCUUUGAGAAUGUCUUUGGUGACAGUGCUCUUGCCAGCCCCCAUACCACCACCCAUAAGUAGCAGCACCGGACUUCUCUCACUGAGUGCCCCCGGCACCAUGUCCUCCGUACAAGGUGAUUCCCCCCGGCCGAUUGCUUUCAUUUCCUCAACUAGAGUAGAAAAUGCCCUUGUAACCUUCAAGUCCUCGGUCACCCUCUCAAAUCUUUGUUUUCUGCCAAAAGCGAUAAAAAUUAAAACCAUGACGAUAAUAUAAAGUAUCCAUUCGAUUCCUAAAACCAUAAAGUUUGGUGUGGUAUAAAUGAAAAACCACGGCACCUCUGGCCCUUCAUAAAAGAGAAAGAUGAGGCCAAGUGGAAGUGGGUGAAUUGAAAAAUAAAAAAAAUGAGGCCAAGUAAUAUAAUAUUACAAGUCAUUGUCAUCAAACCCUUUGGGCUUCGGUUUCCUCACGGAUUCAACAUCCAUAACCUGCCAUCCAUACAGAAAAUUAGAGUAAAGAGCAUAAGACAACAAAAACAAAAAACAGAAAAUAAAAGGUACUGUUCCUUUUCUUUUAUUAUUUGGUUCUGAAAAUUGAUGAUAAACCUGACUGAUAAACAGAGAUGCUCUGCUCCAAUGAAAUGCGAAAUACGUGAGGAUGCAUUUUUCAAAUUCCCCCAUCAGCUUCACGUACAGAGAAGAUUGUAACUCAGGUAGAUUAGCAAAAAAAUCAUAGAUGUUAUUCUCACACCCUUCAGAUCUUUUCAGAUAAUCAUAAGCCAAUUUGCAUAGCCGUGGACACUCAUCUGCAUCUGCAAAUCCCAUCUGCCUAGC